rnacentral:rRNA from 1 species
UACGUAGGGGGCAAGCGUUGUCCGGAUUUAUUGGGCGUAAAGAGCGUGUAGGCGGUCAGGUAGGUCCGUUGUGAAAACUCGAGGCUUAACCUCGAGAUGUCGGCGGAAACCAUCUGGCUAGAGUCCGGAAGAGGAGAGUGGAAUUCCUGGUGUAGCGGUGAAAUGCGCAGAUAUCAGGAAGAACACCCGUGGCGAAGGCGGGUCUCUGGGCCGAUACUGACGCUGAGGAGCGAAAGCGUGGGGAGCGAACAGG